UACAAUAUCCUAUGUUGAAAAUAAACAAGAAGAUACAGAUAGUAAUAAUCUUUUUAUUCAAAGCACGUAUAGCAGUAAAGCAGAUCAUUGGCAUUCAUACCAUUUGGGGAAAGUUACAAUAUCCUAUGUUGAAAAUAAACAAGAAGAUACAGAUAGUAAUAAUCUUUUUAUUCAAAGCACGUAUAGCAGUAAAGCAGAUCAUUGGCAUUCAUACCAUUUGGGGAAAGUUACAAUAUCCUAUGUUGAAAAUAAACAAGAAGAUACAGAUAGUAAUAAUCUUUUUAUUCAAAGCACGUAUAGCAGUAAAGCAGAUCAUUGGCAUUCAUACCAUUUGGGGAAAGUUACAAUAUCCUAUGUUGAAAAUAAACAAGAAGAUACAGAUAGUAAUAAUCUUUUUAUUCAAA